rnacentral:misc_RNA from 1 species
GAAAUGCGAUAAGUAAUGUGAAAUGCAGAAUUCAGUGAAUCAUCGAAUCUUUGAACGCACAUUGCGCCCGCCAGUAUUCUGGCGGGCAUGCCUGUCCGAGCGUCAUUUCAACCAUCAAGCCCCCGGGCUUGUGUUGGGGACCUGCGGCUGCCCGCAGGCCCUGAAAACCAGUGGCGGGCUCGCUGUCACACCGAGCGUAGUAGCAAUCACCUCGCUCAGGGCGUGCUGCGGGUUCCGGCCGUUAAACAGCCUUACAAAACCCAAGGUUGACCUCGGAUCAGGUAGGAAGACCCGCUGAACUUAAGC